CCUACGGGCGGCAGCAGUAGGGAAUAUUGCUCAAUGGGGGCAACCCUGAAGCAGCAACGCCGCGUGGAGGAUGAAGGUUUUCGGAUUGUAAACUCCUUUUGUUAGAGAAGAUACUGACGGUCUCUAACGAGUAAGCACCGGCUAACUCCGUGCCAGCAGCCGCGGUAAUCCGGAGGGUGCAAGCGUUACUCGGAAUCACUGGGCGUAAAGAGCGCGUAGGCGGGAUAGCUAGGCAGAUGUGAAAUCCUAUGGGUUAAACAUAGACCUGCAUUUGAAACUGGUAUUCUAGAGUAUGGGAGAGGUAGGUGGAAUUCGUGGGGUAGGGGUAAAAUCCAUAGAGAUCAAGAGGAAUACUGAUUGCGAAGGCGACCUGCUAGAACAUAACUGACGCUGAUGCACGAAAGCGUGGGGAGCGAACAGGAUUAGAUACCCUUGUAGUC
rnacentral:rRNA from 1 species